CUUGUCACUAGUUAGCCAGCCAGGAAACCGACCAGUUUUCUCAUAUUUAUUGUUAUUUCUUCAAGUAUGUCUCAGAUCCCUGAAGAAGCGGACAAUUUUUAUCUCCCCAGUACUCCCGUCAGAUCCAUAUCGCCUACUCGUAAAGGCGAUAACUGUAGCCCGGCAUCAGGUCAUGGACCGUCCCCCGCAUCACAGCGGAGCUUCACAGAUGCAAUAUCCCUUUCCCAGCUAUGGCCAGGAAAGCGGAACUAUUUAGGCUCAUGCAUACAAAUACUGACAAUGCAGGGGUAAGAGAAAGAACGAGUGGUCCAGGCAACUCAGAUCUCCACGCCAUGAUGGCCUCACACGUAGCAUCCAUGGGAAAGAUUGACAGGCUGAAUCCUUAGCUGCUGUCCUCCACAGCUGUAAGCUGGUAAAAACAUUCCCUCAGGAUCAGGAACCCAUGUUGUCAACCCGGCCCAUAUGGUACCUGCGAAUGUUAAAAAGAUAUCCUGGAAGGCAAAGACGUUAAUCUCGUCUCACUACUGAUUGCCUCUCAGGAUAUAGUGGAGAAUCACACGUACCCAUAUGGGGAUAUAUCCAUUGUGUUGAAGGCUAUGGACCCUACACUGAGC